GUGGGGAAUAUUCCGCAAUGGACGAAAGUCUGACGGAGCAACGCCGCGUGAGUGAUGAAGGUUUUCGGACUGUAAAGCUCUGUUGUUUAGGACGAAAGUGCCUGUUGCAAAUAGUUACAGGUAUUGACGGUACUGAACGAGGAAGCCACGGCUAACUACGUGCCAGCAGCCGCGGUAAUACGUAGGUGGCAAGCGUUGUCCGGAAUUAUUGGGCGUACAGAGCAUGUAGGCGGGAUGCUAAGUCUGUUGUGAAAAUGCGGGGCUCAACCCCGUAUUGCGAUGGAAACUGGGUUUCUUGAGUGCAGGAGAGGAAAGGGGAAUUCCCAGUGUAGCGGUGAAAUGCGUAGAUAUUGGGAGGAACACCAGUGGCGAAGGCGCCUUUCUGGACUGUGUCUGACGCUGAGAUGCGAAAGCCAGGGUAGCGAACGGGAUUAGAAACCCCGGUAGUCC
rnacentral:rRNA from 1 species